UACGGGGGGGGGCAAGCGUUGUUCGGAAUUACUGGGCGUAAAGGGCUCGUAGGCGGCCAACUAAGUCAGACGUGAAAUCCCUCGGCUUAACCGGGGAACUGCGUCUGAUACUGGAUGGCUUGAGGUUGGGAGAGGGAUGCGGAAUUCCAGGUGUAGCGGUGAAAUGCGUAGAUAUCUGGAGGAACACGGUGGCGAAGGCGGCAUCCUGGACCAAUUCUGACGCUGAGGAGCGAAAGCCAGGGGGAGCAAAACGGG
rnacentral:rRNA from 1 species